CCAGGUUCUUGCAUUGCAGGCAGAUUCUUUACUAACUGAGCUAACCAGGGAAGCCCAAGAAAACUGGAGUGGUUAGCUUAUCUCUUCUCCAGGGUAUCUUUCUGGCCCAGGGUCUCCUGUAUUGCAGGCAGUUUUUUUGCCAGAUGAGCUUCCAGGAAAUCAGCAUGGGAUAGGAUAUGCAGUGACCAUACUGUAUACCCACCAGUUCACUGGUUAAUGUUGCUGUCUCUUUAAGUCAUCACCACUGGGCCCUCCCCUCCCUGAGCUUCUUGAACUCUGAGAAGCACAGAGACUUCCUUGUUGGUGGGGAGGAAACCAGUCACUGCACCCACAGCCAAGGGCAGGCAGCAGAUCAGGAGCUUCUUGGAUCUAACGUUAGAGCCUGUCACCAAUUCUGCAGGAAAGGUAAUCAUGGGAGG
rnacentral:lncRNA from 1 species